UACGGAGGGUGCGAGCGUUGUCCGGAAUCACUGGGCGUCAAGGGCGCGUAGGCGGCGCCGGCAGUCAACGGUGAAAGCUUGGGGCUCCACUCCGAGUCGGCCGUCGAUACUCCCGUGCUCGAGCACUGUAGAGGCAGAUGGAAUUCCGGGUGUAGCGGUGGAAUGCGUAGAGAGCCGGAAGAACACCGGUGGCGAAGGCGGUCUGCUGGGCAGUUGCUGACGCUGAUGCGCGACAGCGUGGGGAGCAAACAGG
rnacentral:rRNA from 1 species